rnacentral:rRNA from 1 species
UACAGAGGUCUCAAGCGUUUGUUCGGAUUCAUUGGGCGUAAAGGGUGCGUAGGUGGCGCCGUAAGUCAGGUGUGAAAUUUCGGAGCUUAACUCCGAAACUGCAUUUGAUACUGCGGUGCUUGAGGACUGGAGAGGAGACUGGAAUUCACGGUGUAGCAGUGAAAUGCGUAGAUAUCGUGAGGAAGACCAGUGGCGAAGGCGGGUCUCUGGACAGUUCCUGACACUGAGGCACGAAGGCUAGGGGGAGCAAACGGG